rnacentral:lncRNA from 1 species
GUUCAAAAUAUUGAUUAAUUUGGGGGGAAACCUAAGAGGUUUGAUGCUGCAUAGCAGAUCUCUAUAUGAAUUCCCCGAAUAAACUGCAGUGGAUCAUAACUAUGUGGAGCAGAAGCCAACACGGCAGAAUAGAGUUUAUUUGAAAGACCAAUUAGAUGAGAAUUUCAGGGUGACCAGAAAGGUGUCACGCUUCUGUAUAACUCUAGGUUAAAAAAUAUGAACAGUGGGGUACCAUGUAGGAGUCUUUCUUCUGCUGGGUCUUUAUCAGCAAUAGGGGUCCCAUUUAACUAGAAAGUAGAUUUAUUCCAGAUGGCUUAUGUAGCACGAAUAAUAUCAAAUGCAAAGAGAUCUUGGAAAUAUUACACUAGGUAUCUUAAAUUUUCAGCGUGACUCUAUCCCAGAAAUAUUCCUGACAUUUUAUAUUUUAGGACUAACGUAGGGAUGCGGUGGUAGUGACUGUUUGGCCAUGAUUUCAGGCGAAUGAUACUUCAGAGAAACCUAUCACAAGGCCAAAAACAAACAAACUCACCAUUACCUCAUAAAUCCAAACCAUGACUUGUUUCACCCAAGGAUAGUUUUAAUAAUAACCCAGUAGCAUGGGGUAGUCAUUUCACUCUUACCUGGCUCGCCUCCUUGUUCAAAUCCAUUUGGAUGGUGCUUUUCAAAAGUAAACAAAAUUAGGAGUUCCCUCUAUGGCACAGUGGUUUAAUGAUCUGGCUUGUCUCUGUAGAGGUACCCGUUCAAUCCCCAGCUUGGUGCAGUGGCUUAAGCAUCUGGUGUUGCCAUAUCUGUGGCAUAGGUCGCAGAUGCAUCUGAGAUUCAGUCCCUGGCCUGGGAAAUUCCAUAUGCUACGAGUGCAGCCAAGAAUGGGGCGGCGAGGGGGGAAGCAAAAUUAUUCUGGUCAAUUCUCAUAUUAAAGUAGCUAGACGCUAAGCAAAUAAUUAUUUAAAUGAUGUGAGAAAAUUCAUUUUAGCCUACCCAAGAUUUCAGUAUCUUCCUUGAAGUCAGAAAUGGCCUUCCUUGCUUCAGCCACAGGGGCUUUUUUUCAGGGCAUUGGGUUGUGAAUGCUGUUAGUCCUAAGGGAAUAGAUAAACCCUGGGGAUGUCAGUGCUGAAAUUCCGUGAAAAAAGAUGCUUGGUUUUAAAAGGGGACGCAUGCAUCCGUUAGGCAUUAUUGAGUCUUGGGAAUUUUGAGGUGUGAGUUUUGCUUCCUGCUAAGGCAUUAGGUGAUUGCCCAGGAUUGAACAGGUGUCAGAGCCAUCAGAACAAGCUGAUAUGGGGAACACUGGUUCCUGAGACCUGGGUUUCAGCUCUGGUGACUCUGACUUUGGACGAGUAUUAAAUGUCAUUAUUUUAGUUCCUCAACAGACCAAGGAGGAUUUUGGACCAUUGGAUAACCUUCAAAGAUAAUUUGUGCAAAUGGCAGAUACGAUUUUACAGCAUCAGUCUGUAUUGACUCUCAUGACAUCUUAAGUCAGUGAGCAGUCACUCUUGGAUAGCAGACACUGUUGUUAACAAUGUGGGUUUGAGGAGUUCCCUGGUGGCCUAGUGGUUAAGGAUUAGGUGUUGUCACUGCUGUGGCUCAGGUUUGAUCCCUGGCCUGGGAAUUUCCGCAUGCAGUGAGUGUGGUCAAAAAAAAAAAAAAAAAAAAAAAAAGGAACAUGGGUUCGAAAGGCAGAUGCUCUGCCACUUGCUAAGGUGUAAUGUUGAGAAGCUGUUCAGCCUGUGUGUUUUAGUCUCCUCAUCUCUGUGACGGAGGAGGAACGUAUCUGUAGAAUGGUGAGCAAUAAGCGAACACCUGCAGGACAAAGUUGGUAAGAACUGACAAUGACAAGGAUCAAUAUGUACUGAAUGCUGACAGUGCGGCAGGCGUUUUCUAAGUGCCGAGGGCACAGACCGGAAGAAGGUGCAUUUGUCUUCAGAUGCUCACAGCCAGGCUGGAGGGAGAAGGAGGCAGGGCUUGUGCAGCCUUGUCAGUGUCACAGUAGGCAUCCUCGCAGUGCAGACCAGGGUCACUUUCCCUGGGAAGGGGCAGCUCCCAAAGAUGCGACUUGACAUCCAGUUUAACUGAAAGGAGUUUAGUUCCGCAGAAAGCCAGUGCUUUGGUGAGUGGGCCUGGCACCUUAUUAGAUGCUGUGGACGCUGCCCUAAAAUUAGAAGCCGGGAGUCUACUAUUAGUGUCUGUGGUGGACUGCAGGACACCCGAGUGUGGCCUUCAGGAGGAGGUACUUGACAGGACAGUGGAGGGAGGGGAGACCAGGAGCAUGAGCACAGGAGGAAGGGCUGGGGUCUCGGCAGAGGAGGGUCUGCAGAGCCAGGCUGGGUGCGAGGCGUGGGAGGUGCUUCAUGCCAUGAGUGGUGUUUGUUAAACUGAGUUUCAGCAAUUCUAGACUAUUCAUGAAAACUUUAACUUUUAAUUUCAUAGUCUGUUUUUCCACCAAACUUAAUACCAUAAAAUUUUUAAUUAAGAAAAAGCGCUUUUUGGUUAUCACACUUGAACGUUUUUCUGCACCUGUGCCUUAGAAAAUGAAAUAAACAAUAUGUAGGAGUUGGCCUGGGUGCAGACGGUUCUCUAAUUCUCAGGUAGAUGAGCUGGUCUUUUGUCUGCCCGGUGCUCUUCCACUGCAUUCUUUAGAGAGGAGUGGGAGCUGGGAAUACCUCGGAAAUGAGCUGGCUAACUUCAGAGGGAGGGCGGUCCCACAGGGUCAGGAGAGGAAUUUUGUUGGUUGAUUUGCUUUUAAUUGAACUCAUAUGUUCAGGGACUGUUCUACUUUCACCAAUCAACAAACUGACUUGGUAGCAGCUGCUUUAGAGGUUAUUUUUAUUACACAAUGUAAAAGUAUUGGCUGGAUAUUGUGUAAUUUGGUACUGAUUUAUACUCACAUUGUCUUUGUAUGCAUAUAUUUAUUUAGUGAUUAUAAGAAAAUGUCUAGGAGUUCUCGUCGUGGCGCAAUGGAAACAAAUCUGACUAGGAACCAUGAGGUUGCGGGAUCCUUAACCCGCUGAGCGAGGUCAGGAAUUGAACCUGCAUCCUCCUGGAUACUAGUCAGGUUCUUAACCCUCUGAGCCACAAUGGGAAUCCAAAUGUUUAUAUUCUUGUAGUACUUUCCUGUCGACAAAAUGGGUGUGUAUGGGACCCGUACAUGUAAGACUGUGGCAGCAAACGGGUCAUUAGAGCAUGAUGUUUCACAUCAAAGCAUCUUCCGUUUCUAAGAUAAUCUCUUGAGAAAGAAAGCAUUUAAAUUCUUGUAGUUAUAACACAUUAGCGUGAUUCUGCUUAGUAAGAACAUUAUUCCUUGAGUUCCUGCUACGGCACAGUGGGUUAAGGGUCCAACUGCAGCAGCUUGGGUCGUUGCAGAGGUGCAGUUCAAUUCCCAGCUUGGAGCAGUGGGUAUUGCCACAGCGGGUGUUGCCACAGCUGCAGCUUGGAUUCAGUCCCUGGCCUAGGACUUCCAUAUGCCGUGGGCACAGCCAUUAAAAAAAAAAAAAAGGAAAAAAAAGAAAGUUAUUCCUAGACUCUUUUAUUUCACUUGUGAUGGUUAUUUACUCUCCACCAAGAGUAGGGUGAGGUGAGUGAGGCAUUUGCCUCAGGUGCAGAGUUUAAGGGCACACAGGAAAGCUCAGUCGUUGAGAUUAAUAACUUCUUUUUUUGGCCAAGGGAGCAGCUUGAUGUGGGAUCUCAGUUUCCAGACCAGGGAUUGAACCCAGGCUACAGCAGUUGAAAGUACCAAGUCCUAGCCACUAGACAUUUUAGUGCAAUACUUUGAAAAAUGGAAUUUGAUAAAAGUAAAAAAAUAAAUCUAUAAUUUAAAAAAAUCAAAUUUUAAAUAAAGAUAGGAUCAGUAGUAGCGAUUUUUCCUUUUGCCUCAGCUUCAGUGUGGCUUGGCUUAGCGCUGUUACUGAUACUAUCUUUAGUUAAAAUUGUAACAUUUUGUUUCUCAUGGUUUUUUGCAUUAAUUUUGAUUUUAUCCCUAUUGCUGAGUGUUUUGGCACUUUCUGAAAAUUCAUACCUGAGGCGAGUGCCUCACUCACCUUGCCUUCCUCCCAAACCUAACUUCCAUCUUAAACGCCUUGAAGACCAGACAAAACACAUGAAACAAUAGUUCUCAGACGCUGGUCAACAGGCAGGUUAGGACUCUGUUCCUUGAAAUAAGGGAAAUGAAAGAAAUGAGCUGUACAGUCACUCCAACUUAAUCUCUAGAGCAGGGAGAAACAGACUUUCUCUAUAAAGGGCCAGAUAGUGAGUGUCUUAGACUUUGCAGACCAUACGGUCUCUGUCAUAGUCAUUCGACUCUGCCAUUGUCUGUGACUACUUUCAUACCAAGUAUGAAAAUGAAUGGCCAUGGGUAUGUUCUAAUAAAACUUUAUUUAUAGAGACAGCAGGUUGGAUUUGGUCCUCAGGUCACAGUUUGCCCAUCCUGGUCUAGAGACAGUUUCCAUGUUACAGGACAGGGAGAGAGAAAAGGUGCUGAGUUAGUUCUGGACUAAAGGACUGCUGCAGACUUGCCCUAACUGAUUCCAGGUAACUCAACUGCAUUCCCAGAACAAAGUCCCUGCUGUAGCUUAAAGGACAUGAUAAAAUCCGGCAUCCAACAAUGUAAAAAAGUUUCGUGUCCAGCAUCUAACAGAAAUUACCAGGACUGCAAAGAAGCAAGAAAAGGUGAUCUUAACCAGGAGGAAAAUCAGUCAAUAGAAACUCAGAAAUAGGAAUUCCUGUCGUGGCUCAAUGGUCACGAACCCAACUGGUAUCCACAAUGACGCAAGUUCCAUCCCUGGCCCUGCUCAGUGGGUUAAGGAUUCAGCGUUGCCGUGAGCUGUGCUGUAGGUCGCAGAUGAAACUCAGGGCUCCCGUUGCUGUGACUGUGGUGUAGGCCAGCAGCCGAAGCUCUGAUUCAACCCGUAGCCUGGGGACUUCCAUAUGCUGCAGCUGUGGCCCUGAAGAGCGAAAACAAACCCUCAGCAAUAACACAGAUAAUGGAAUUAGCAGGCAAGGACACUAAAACAACGAUUAUAAAUAAGUUAUACCCAUUUGUGAGGGAAAUGAGCAUCAUGAGCGAAAGAUAUGGAAAGUCUGAGGUAGGAAAGGUGCAACAGAGAUUUGCAGCACAUCGGCACUACAGACCAGUGAACUUCGAGACAAAGCAAUAGAAACUAUCCAAAAUAUGGUACAAAAAAGAAAGACUGAACAAAACAACAGCGUUUAGUGACCCGUGAGACAAAAUCAGCUGUUUGGAGUUCCCGUGGUGGCUCGGCAGAAACAAAUCUGACUAGGAUCCAUGAGGAUGCAGGUUCAUCCCUGGCCUUGCUCAGUGGGCUGAGGAUCCGGUGUUGCUGUGGGCUGUGGUGUAGGUCACAGAUGCAGCUCAGAUCUGGCGUGGCUGAAGCUUGGCAUAGGCCAGUGGCUGUAGCUCUGAUUCCACUCCUAGCCUGAGAACUACCAUAUGCUACAGGUAUGGCCCUCAAAAGACCAAAAAAAAAAAAAAAAAAAA